GGGGUUGUGGCUCAGUGGUAGAGCAUUUGCCUAGUAUGUGGAAGGCACUGUGUUUGAUUCUCAGCACCG
rnacentral:tRNA from 1 species